CUUUCGUGGUGAACAAGACAGCACGAUAAUCGGCGGAUGAAGCAAAAAGACAAAAGAAUCUGGCUAACCACGAUUCUCGUGCAUCCUGGAUGACAUUCUGGCUUGGCUCAUGCAACCAACCUUAAUCCAAUCAGCCAACAAGCCACUAACCCUUAGUUAGACUUAACCUCAGUUAGGAUAUUUUGUGUGUUCGUGAUUUGGAUAGUUGUAUUGCGUAUCUCCUUUUUAAGGGCCAUAGCUUGUUUAGGGUUCAGGAUAUUGUGUGAUCUCAGAAAGUGGGUUAAUCCAGUCUUUAGGUUAAGGAUGUGACAGGGGAUGAGCUCCUGGACCAGGUUAGCCACAAAUCAAGGGUUGUAUUGUAGUUGUACAUCCAAGCAGCUACAAAAGUCACUUCUCAUUUCUCUUGUUCUUCUUCAGCAGGGUGACUUUGGGCCAAUCACCAGGAGACCUGUGAGUUCUACUCCUGCCUGAGGCAUGAAUGCCAGCUGGAUGACUUGGGGCCAAUCACCAGGAGAUGGGGCUACUUUGUCUUCCCCGUGCAAGAUGAAUCCCAAAAAAUGGAGGAUGAAGGAGGAGGGCGAAAGUAAAGCCACAAAAUCAUUGCUGAGAAGAUCUUGUCAAUAAGAAGAACAAUCAUCAACCAGAAUAAAGGACUUGUACAACUCGGGACCAGGCUACUUUUCCCAUGCAGGAUCUCUCCUGCUCCUAUCAGGAAUGCCGAAGAAGAACAAAGCACCAGAACGGUGACAGAAGCAGCAGCUAUCAAUGGGUGCUCCUGGUUCCUUUGGCUGGGGAAUUUAAAAACAAAAUGGAAAAGUGCAGACACAGAAGGAGAAGAGGAUGGGCUAUGUGAGAUGGCCAAAGCAGAAGAAGCACCAUGGACUUUGAAGUGGGUUGGCAGCCCUCCCAAACGUAGCACGAUGGUGCAAAGCCAGAAGGUAGGACCGCAAUCGCUCUGAGAAGGAAAGGAGGUGGUUGAUAGGAGACCCUUCUCUCCAUCAGCGGAAUUUGCUCACAACAAGGAGUCUGAGUCCCUUCUGAGAGCCAAGUCAAUUCUCCCAAGCCCCAAGGGUUUCAAGAUCCAUCACUUUCUUCUACUCCCUCCCAACCUUUGUGUUGAAACCUUCCAUGGACAUCUUCAGCCGGGUCAUUAUUAGAUUGUGAGCAAUCUCAGCAAUCAGGCCCUCCAGUCUAGAAGGAGAGAUUGGAUGAAACUCCCCCGUCCCUUCCUUUCUCCUGGCUCUGCGCUGGAGAGUUUCCAUGUUAAUUUUUUAUUUAUUUGAAACUGGCACUGGAAGGGUUUUCAAAGUGAGUCUAAAGUAAUUAGGCGUUCCCGCUGAUGGAUUGCACAGAAGGGACAUGUGGAUUAUUUAUUACAAAGUCACUUGCUGGAAAGGUUAGAGCCUUAGAAGUAAUUAUUUUCCCUUUUUCUUUUUCAUUUUUUUUUUAAAGUGAAGGAAUCAGCAGGGGAGAGAGUAGCUAAAGUGCCUCGGUUGGAAAUUCUCCCCUGGUUUAAGUUCUUUUCACUGAGUUGUACAUGCUUGCACACCUAACACCCUCUGUCCCAAGGGAAAACCGUCCGACCGAGAAGUAAAGACAGGAAGGAAGUCAGUGCGCACCCAGAAAGGUCCUUCUUUGCACACCCUUGAUUUUAGAAGCCUCCUCCAUUUUUCUAACACCACUGACGCUUCGUUCCUUCAACCAGUUCCAAUGGAGAUGGAGACAAAGCCCUCUUAGCUGCAGUUACUACACUCUGAGUAGCAAGGUGAGAUUUGCAGAAGGGGGGAGCCCACAUUAGUCUGUGGGUUCUUCCUUGAAAGUAGCCCCAGCAGCAGGCAAACAGCAAGUCUUUCUCAGAUGAAUAUGCAAAAGGUUUGCACCAGGGGCAGGAUAAUUGCUGCAAACAUGUUAACACAGAGCUGGAUCUUUAGGCUUCUAACAGCUUCCUAAAACCUAGCAAGCACUGAACCAACAAAUACAAGCUGAGACAACAAAUCUGCUGGGCAUUGGUGGUGUGGUGGACAUGGGCUGUCUGGAAAACUUGAGCCCAUGAUUAACACCCACACUGACUGCGGGGCUCAGGCAGAAAAGCAGCUGGAUCAAAAACUGGAUCGUGUUGGGCCAAGAGAAGCAACCCAGGCCAGAAGAAGGCCUUUACCUAGAAGAAUCAGCGUGAAACUGGUUUCCCAAUUAAUCCAGAGCAGACUGGUCUGUAGUUGUUGCUAAUCAAGUAAGUCAGAGUUCAUACCGGAAAGGCCCAGUUCACAAUGCACAAGCCCAGGUCCAAGCCCAAGACUCUGUUUGCUUACACUCAUGGACAGAAUCUUGCCGGACUAAAUUAUGGGCUUUUUGCCCAUAACUCCUUUUGUCCAGACAAUAGAUUGACAUAUCCCUAUCUAGAUCAUCUUCCUCACUUCCAAUAUGAGUUGUUUAGAGUUGUAAUGCUCUAGAGUAGUAAUACUCCACCACCCAGAGCCUGAGGGAGAUGGGCAGUUUAAGAAGUGUGAGAUAUAAAUAAAUAAAUAUAUCACUACAACAACAUCAGUUAACAAUGGUUGAGGCCAUCAGAAGAGCAACAA